rnacentral:rRNA from 1 species
AAACCUGAGAGUCUGAUCCUGGCUCAGAGCGAACGCUGGCGGCAGGCUUAACACAUGCAAGUCGAACGAGAAGCCGGGCUUCGGCCCGGUGGACAGUGGCGCACGGGUGAGUAACGCGUGGGAACCUGCCCAUGAGUGGGGAAAAACGGUUGGAAACGACCGCUAAUUCCGCAUACGCCCUACGGGGGAAAGGCUUCGGCCGCUCAUGGAUGGGCCCGCGUCCGAUUAGCUUGUUGGUGAGGUAAUGGCUCACCAAGGCGACGAUCGGUAGCUGGUCUGAGAGGACGAUCAGCCACACUGGGACUGAGACACGGCCCAGACUCCUACGGGAGGCAGCAGUGGGGAAUAUUGGACAAUGGGCGAAAGCCUGAUCCAGCCAUGCCGCGUGAGUGAUUUGAAGGCCCUAGGGUUGUAAAGCUCUUUCGGCGGGGAAGAUGAUGACGGUACCCGCAGAAGAAGCCCCGGCUAACUCCGUGCCAGCAGCCGCGGUAAUACGGAGGGGGCUAGCGUUG